UCGAUUCCCUUAGUAGCGGCGAGCGAAACGGGAAGAGCCCAAACCAACAAGCUUGCUUGUUGGGGUUGUAGGACACUCUAUACGGAGUUACAAAGGACGACAUUAGACGAAUCAUCUGGAAAGAUGAAUCAAAGAAGGUAAUAAUCCUGUAGUCGAAAAUGUUGUCUCUCUUGAGUGGAUCCUGAGUACGACGGAGCACGUGAAAUUCCGUCGGAAUCUGGGAGGACCAUCUCCUAAGGCUAAAUACUCUCUAGUGACCGAUAGUGAACCAGUACCGUGAGGGAAAGGUGAAAAGCACCCCGGAAGGGGAGUGAAAUAGAACCUGAAACCGUGUGCUUACAAGUAGUCAGAGCCCGUUAAUGGGUGAUGGCGUGCCUUUUGUAGAAUGAACCGGCGAGUUACGAUUUGAUGCAAGGUUAAGCAGUAAAUGUGGAGCCGUAGCGAAAGCGAGUCUGAAUAGGGCGUUUAGUAUUUGGUCGUAGACCCGAAACCAGGUGAUCUACCCUUGGUCAGGUUGAAGUUCAGGUAACACUGAAUGGAGGACCGAACCGACUUACGUUGAAAAGUGAGCGGAUGAACUGAGGGUAGCGGAGAAAUUCCAAUCGAACCUGGAGAUAGCUGGUUCUCUCCGAAAUAGCUUUAGGGCUAGCCUCAAGUGAUGAUUAUUGGAGGUAGAGCACUGUUUGGACGAGGGGCCCCUCUCGGGUUACCGAAUUCAGACAAACUCCGAAUGCCAAUUAAUUUAACUUGGGAGUCAGAACAUGGGUGAUAAGGUCCGUGUUCGAAAGGGAAACAGCCCAGACCACCAGCUAAGGUCCCAAAAUAUAUGUUAAGUGGAAAAGGAUGUGGCGUUGCCCAGACAACUAGGAUGUUGGCUUAGAAGCAGCCAUCAUUUAAAGAGUGCGUAAUAGCUCACUAGUCGAGUGACACUGCGCCGAAAAUGUACCGGGGCUAAACAUAUUACCGAAGCUGUGGAUUGUCCUUUGGACAAUGGUAGGAGAGCGUUCUAAGGGCGUUGAAGCAUGAUCGUAAGGACAUGUGGAGCGCUUAGAAGUGAGAAUGCCGGUGUGAGUAGCGAAAGACGGGUGAGAAUCCCGUCCACCGAUUGACUAAGGUUUCCAGAGGAAGGCUCGUCCGCUCUGGGUUAGUCGGGUCCUAAGCUGAGGCCGACAGGCGUAGGCGAUGGAUAACAGGUUGAUAUUCCUGUACCACCUAUAAUCGUUUUAAUCGAUGGGGGGACGCAGUAGGAUAGGCGAAGCGUGCGAUUGGAUUGCACGUCUAAGCAGUAAGGCUGAGUAUUAGGCAAAUCCGGUACUCGUUAAGGCUGAGCUGUGAUGGGGAGAAGACAUUGUGUCUUCGAGUCGUUGAUUUCACACUGCCGAGAAAAGCCUCUAGAUAGAAAAUAGGUGCCCGUACCGCAAACCGACACAGGUAGUCAAGAUGAGAAUUCUAAGGUGAGCGAGCGAACUCUCGUUAAGGAACUCGGCAAAAUGACCCCGUAACUUCGGGAGAAGGGGUGCUCUUUAGGGUUAACGCCCAGAAGAGCCGCAGUGAAUAGGCCCAAGCGACUGUUUAUCAAAAACACAGGUCUCUGCUAAACCGUAAGGUGAUGUAUAGGGGCUGACGCCUGCCCGGUGCUGGAAGGUUAAGAGGAGUGGUUAGCUUCUGCGAAGCUACGAAUCGAAGCCCCAGUAAACGGCGGCCGUAACUAUAACGGUCCUAAGGUAGCGAAAUUCCUUGUCGGGUAAGUUCCGACCCGCACGAAAGGCGUAACGAUUUGGGCACUGUCUCAACGAGAGACUCGGUGAAAUCAUAGUACCUGUGAAGAUGCAGGUUACCCGCGACAGGACGGAAAGACCCCGUGGAGCUUUACUGUAGCCUGAUAUUGAAAUUCGGCACAGCUUGUACAGGAUAGGUAGGAGCCUUUGAAACGUGAGCGCUAGCUUACGUGGAGGCGCUGGUGGGAUACUACCCUAGCUGUGUUGGCUUUCUAACCCGCACCACUUAUCGUGGUGGGAGACAGUGUCAGGCGGGCAGUUUGACUGGGGCGGUCGCCUCCUAAAAGGUAACGGAGGCGCUCAAAGGUUCCCUCAGAAUGGUUGGAAAUCAUUCAUAGAGUGUAAAGGCAUAAGGGAGCUUGACUGCGAGACCUACAAGUCGAGCAGGGUCGAAAGACGGACUUAGUGAUCCGGUGGUUCCGCAUGGAAGGGCCAUCGCUCAACGGAUAAAAGCUACCCCGGGGAUAACAGGCUUAUCUCCCCCAAGAGUUCACAUCGACGGGGAGGUUUGGCACCUCGAUGUCGGCUCAUCGCAUCCUGGGGCUGUAGUCGGUCCCAAGGGUUGGGCUGUUCGCCCAUUAAAGCGGUACGCGAGCUGGGUUCAGAACGUCGUGAGACAGUUCGGUCCCUAUCCGUCGUGGGCGUAGGAAAUUUGAGAGGAGCUGUCCUUAGUACGAGAGGACCGGGAUGGACAUACCUCUGGUGUACCAGUUGUCGUGCCAACGGCAUAGCUGGGUAGCUAUGUGUGGACGGGAUAAGUGCUGAAAGCAUCUAAGCAUGAAGCCCCCCUCAAGAUGAGAUUUCCCAACUUCGGUUAUAAGAUCCCUCAAAGAUGAUGAGGUUAAUAGGUUCGAGGUGGAAGCAUGGUGACAUGUGGAGCUGACGAAUACUAAUCGAUCGAAGACUUAAUCAA
rnacentral:rRNA from 1 species